rnacentral:rRNA from 1 species
GACGAACGCUGGCGGCGUGCUUAACACAUGCAAGUCGAACGGAAAGGCCCUGCUUUUGUGGGGUGCUCGAGUGGCGAACGGGUGAGUAACACGUGAGUAACCUGCCCUUGACUUUGGGAUAACUUCAGGAAGCUGGGGCUAAUACCGGAUAGGAGCUCCUGCUGCAUGGUGGGGGUUGGAAAGUUUCGGCGGUUGGGGAUGGACUCGCGGCUUAUCAGCUUGUUGGUGGGGUAGUGGCUUACCAAGGCUUUGACGGGUAGCCGGCCUGAGAGGGUGACCGGCCACAUUGGGACUGAGAUACGGCCCAGACUCCUACGGGAGGCAGCAGUGGGGAAUAUUGCACAAUGGGCGGAAGCCUGAUGCAGAAACGCCGCGUGCGGGAUGACGGCCUUCGGGUUGUAAACCGCUUUCGCCUGUGACGAAGCGUGAGUGACGGUAAUGGGUAAAGAAGCACCGGCUAACUACGUG